rnacentral:rRNA from 1 species
AAGGGCACCACAAGAACGCGUGGAGCAUGUGGCUUAAUUUGACUCAACGCGGGAAAUCUUACCGGGUCCGGACACACUGAGGAUUGACAGGCAAUUGUGGGGAGCGGGUUGGUGCUUCGGUGCCUCCCUUCUCUACUAUAAAUAUGCUAGUCCUUUCAUGAUUGUGUGAUAGGUGGUGCAUGGCCGUUCUUAGUUCGUGGAGUGAUCUGUCUGCUUAAUUGCGUUUCACAAAGAACUUUCUAACUCCCAUCUGUUGCACGGCACUGUCCUUCAUCGGGCAGUUGUCUGUUGCACGGUGGGGAAAAAGUUCUGAAGGCAACGAACGUGACCGCAUCCUCUUGUUGCCGCCUUUUUCUUUCUAUGAAAACAUGAGUGUCGAUGUCUUCUGCUUCGGCAGUUGCUCGCUCUCUGCACGGCGUCUUUUUGCAAACUAGAGGGACCGCUGACAACUUUUAAAACAGAGGAAGGUUGCGGCAAUAACAGGUCUGUGAUGCCCUUAGAUGUUCCGGGCUGCACACGUGCUACAAUGAUUAUUGCAGUGAGCAUCUAAAUUAAACAAAGAGUUUCUGGGUUUCUGUUGCCCUCUCCGGGCGCAGUUACCCGUGCUCUAACUGACCUAAUUCGAAAGUAAUUAGGUAAUCAAUUCGAAGUAAUGAUUUCCUUUCGCACAUACAACUAUCCCUUGUUUGCUACCUUGCCUCUGCACUCCGGUGUUGUUGGUAUUGUUUGUAGUCCUGAGAUAUGUGCUCCAUUAAUUCAUGGUGGGGACAGACCAUUGUUAAUUGUUGGUCUCGGUCUCAACUAGGAAUGCCUUGUACGGGUCUUUGGUUCAACAAACCACCCGGAAUAUGUCCCUGCCCUUUGUACACACCGCCCGUCA